rnacentral:lncRNA from 1 species
GGGGAGCACGUGAAGUCAUCUGGAGCUAUCAGUGGAGGCCUGGAAACAAAAAUGCUUGAGUUGUGCAUGGCAGAGCUGCUUGAAUUCAUACCAAGGUUUGAGCAGGAGUUCAUGGCGUGGAGCACUGCCCAGGACAGCCCCAGCUUUGUGCCCCACCUUGUUGCCUACAUCAACAGCUUCCAUGACCUGGUGUCAGGGUUGGAAACAGCGUUUAAAGUCAAUACUGAGGAGCUGCAGAAGAUUUUGGCAACUCUGACAAGGAACUUCACAAAUAUUUUUUUAACAAAAUUAAGAACAAAAACACAGCCACUCCUUAAGAAAAUCCUGACCAAGAGCUGGAUUUUGGCGACGGAAAGGCCGGACUCUCUGGCGUUGGCAGUCUCACAGUUCUCUGAGCACCUGCAGCACAUGAGGGAGCCCCUGGGGCAGGUAGGCAGCCAGUCCCUCACCUGGCACAGGAAUGCUGAGGGGCCACACCAUCAUCUUCAGGCUGUGGUGAGACCUGCAGACUCCUCUGC